rnacentral:rRNA from 1 species
GACGAACGCUGGCGGCAUGCUUAACACAUGCAAGUCGAACGGAAAGGCCCUGCUUUUGUGGGGUGCUCGAGUGGCGAACGGGUGAGUAACACGUGAGUAACCUGCCCUUGACUUUGGGAUAACUUCACGAAACUGGGGCUAAUACCGGAUAGGAUCUCCUGCUGCAUGGUGGGGGUUGGAACGUCUCGGCGGUUGGGGAUGGAUUCGCGGCUUAUCAGCUUGUUGGUGGGGUAGUGGCUUACCAAGGCUUUGACGGGUAGCCGGCAUGAGAGGGUGACCGGCCACAUUGGGACUGAGAGACGGCCCAGACUCCUACGGGAGGCAGCAGGGGGGAAUAUUGCACAAUGGGCGGAAGCCUGAUGCAGCAACGCCGCGUGCGGGAUGACGGCCUUCGGGUUGUAAACCGCUUUCGCCUGUGACGAAGCGUGAGUGACGGUAAUGGGUAAAGAAGCACCGGCUAACUACGUG